UUCAAACUCUUGGCCUCACGUGAUCUGCCCACUCAGCCUCCCCAAGUGCAGGCUUGACCCACCUCGCCUGGCCUGCCCAGCUAAUUUUUUUUUUAAGAUGUGAACUUUUUCAUUCUUCAAAAAGAGAAUGUAUUUUUACAUAAAUCUAUAACAGAAUUCAAAUGUAGAAAAAAUAAACUAUAUUCAGGGAUAGAGUGCUCAGCACAGCACACCCCCUCCCCGGAUGAGACUGCAGGAGCCUCGCCACCCCCAGGACACCCAACAUCAGGGCAGCCACAGGCUGGCACAUAGAGCUCCCUGUGUCUGUCACAACAGGCUGCAAAUGCAAGGGGCCCAGACCCGAAGCAUCAAAGACAAAAACCAACCCAUUUCACUGUGGCAACUCACUUCUUGGCCUAGGUCACUCAUUUGUACACCUACUCAGAAAGGGAGGCACAGGGAAACUGAGGGACAUGCAUCUCCAGAUGCCUCGGAUAAUCCCCUACUCACUUCUGCCACUAGAGGACCCCCAGGAGAGCCCACCUGACAAACCCCAACUUCUUCCCUGGGCCAGUGCAACCAAAAACCUGCAGGAUUCACCCAGGACUCCAGGCCCUGACAAGAGGCAGAGCUGGCUGCAGCUCGACUAAUUAAAAAAUUUUUUUUGUUGAGACAGGUUCUCUCGUGUUAUCCUGGCUGGUCUUGAACUCCUAGCCUCAAACUUUCCUGCCACCUUCGCCUUCCAAAGCUCUGGCAUGAGUGCCCAGCCUCCCAACUUAUAUAUAAAUACAGGCCGGGCGCAGUGGGGUACAAUUCUUAUCCUGAAAUACCUUCCAUAUCCCUUCCAUAUCCCACUCCCUAACCACGUCAUUUCUGGGUUUCACUGCCCAUGAGAGAGUGCACAAUGGUAGAAACUAUCUUUACAGAGGGCCUGCCAUGAGGCACAGACUGUGCUGGGGUCAUACAUUCAUUCUGCCUUUUUUAUGCUCCUAAGGAAGUAUUAUUUGAUUUCAAUGGAACAGAUGAAAAAAUGGAGGCACAGAGAGGAUGAGCAGCUGGCCUAAGGUUAGCUGACUGUUAAGGGGUAGGCUGGGAUCCACUGUGAAGUCCACUGUGGGACUUCAAACCCCUUCUCUUGGCCGUCAUGCAGCAAUGGUACCCAUGAAUAGACCGGAAGCGCAAGGAGUGCACACCCUUGCUACUCAAAGGCAGGAGGGUCUAGGGGCCUGCAACACUGGCAUCACCUGGAAGUUUGUCAGAAAUGCAGGAUCUUGGGUUCGUUCCAUCCAGCCCUACUGAAUCAGAAUCUACAAUUUUUUUGUGUGUGUGUGUGAAAGGGUCUCACUGUGUUGCCCAGGCUAGAGUAUAGGGGCACAAACACAGCUUACUAUAGUCCCCACCUCCUGAGUUCAAGGGAUCCUCCUGCCUAAGCCUCCCAAGUAGCUGGCACAGGCCACCACGCCCAACUAAUUUUUAAUUUUUUUGUAGAGAUAGGGAUCUCACCAUGUUGCCCAGGCUGGUCUCAAAUUUCCUGGGCUCAAGCAAUUAUCCUGCCUUGGCCUCCCAAAGUGCUGGGAUUACAGGUGUGAGCCAUCGUGCCACGUCAGAAUCUACACUUUACAGGAAUCAUGUACACAUUAGGAGCUGAGAAGCACUAGACUAGAGAAUAAUCCAAGCAAAGUGGCAUAUUGCCUUUGUAGCCCUUAUGCAACAGUGUCUCAUAAGCCAGGUUUCCAAUGACCCGAAAACAACUUCUUAUAACCAAAUAUACCAGAUUGGCCAACUGUUCCAUUCAUCUAUCCACCCUAGUUUUGUCAUCUAUUUCCACUCCAAGGGAAAGACUGUGAGAAGCUACCAUCAACUCCAAAGACGAGGUGCUGUAUGCUCCAAAUCAUCUCCCAUUUGAGGUCUACUCUGAUCCCCAGAUAAUUUUCUGGAACACACUUUUCACAAAAGAAUUCCCUAUGUUAGCCUGCAUACCAAAGGAGUCAGAAUGGUUUGGUAGAAAAGAUUAGUGGGUGAGGAAAAGCAGGGUUCCCCUUCAGCUUUAAGGCCACAUGUGACUUUGGGAAAUGCCCUACCCUCACUUCCUAAUCCCCAUGUAAAAUAUGAAUGGGGUGGACUAGACUAGGAAUCAUUCCAUAUGAGGCCUGGCAGGAAACACAAAGGAAGUUCAGUGGCCUAGGUGAAACAGUAGGGAGUAGCGGAGACUGUGGCAAACUAGAGGGCGAGCAGGUAGGGAGGGUGCAAUGCCCUGACUACACAAAGGUAUCCCCACUCAGAAAUAGGCUAGAGUUAUCAUGGGAAAUACGUUGACAUAUAUUCUAAUUUUUUGAGUUGGGAAUCUGAUUUUCCAAGAAAUGAGUGAUGUUUAAGUAUUGGCAACUAUUAAUAGUUAAAACUUCAGAACAAACAAACACAACACUGUGUGAGCCAAAUAAAUAUCAGGUGCCGGCCAGAUCUGUCCGUGGGCCGUCAGUUUGACUUGCCUGGCCCAGAUGCCACCCUAAUGUUAGGUAUUAAUUUGCAUGUGCGGCUGAGAAUGCUGCAAAGCGGCUCCUGUAAGGAUGGGGGUUGAGGGGUAAGAUCUGUGCCUUUCCGGGGCCCGUCGCCCGUCCCCCACCGCGGCCCGGGCCCCUUUCGGUGCCCCCUCCCCAGGCCUCUCCGGGAAAGGGCCCAGACGGUGGUGCCGGGUCGCACGGCGUCGCUUGCUUCACACCCUCCCUACCUGCUCGCCUGCUCUCCCAGCACGGCCGGCAGCGCCGCAGCAGCGAUGACUCAGCCUCUGGCGGCGGAGCUGGAGGGAGGCGGAGGGGGCGAGGGGGAGGACGACUGGCAGGGCGGGGUAAAAGGAGGCGGGUGGAAUGGAGGGAGGAGGGGAGAAAGAAAGAGGAAAAGGAGAGAGAAGUGGGAUGGGGGAGGAGAAAGAGGAAAGGGGGAGAGGAGACGGGGGAGAGGCGGAGGUGGGAGGGGGCAGUUCGAAGCCCCAGCUCCCGCCUCCUCCCGCGGCCGGCUGAGGUUGGGCUGGGCUGGGGGAGGACAGUGGGGGAACAGCGGAGAGGGUAGGGCAGGGGCGGAGAAAGGAGGGUGGCGUGCUGCGCCCCUUCCCCUCCCCCACUUCGAGAGUCCCGUGGGUACACGUGGUUCAUUGCCACACCCACGGACCCACCCCUGCCUCUGUGGGAUGGGAGGGGCCGGGGAGGGUGCCCGGGAAUGCGGCUUCGGACUCUGAACCUUUAGUGAGCGCCUUCCAGCGGAGGCCUGGGGGACUGGGCAGUCAAAAAGGGACAGAGGGGCCGGGCGCGGUGGCUCACGCCUGCAAUCCCAGCACUUUGGGAGGCCGAGGCGGCCGGAUCACCUGAGGUCAGGAGUUCAAGACCAGCCUGGCCAACAUGGCGAAACCCCGUCUCUACUAAAAAUACAAAAAUUAGCUGGGCGUGGUGGCGCGCGCCUGAAGUCCCAGCUACUUGGGAGGCUGAGGCAGGAGAAUCACUUGAACCUGGGAGGCGGAGGCUACAGUGAGGCAAGAUCGUGCCACUGCAUUCCAGCCUGGGCAACCCUGUCUCAAAAAAAAAAAGGGGGACAGAGAGAGGUGAGGGCUUGCAGGGGAGAAAGCAAAUCCACAAGGCGUAUCCGCAAGUGGAAAUUUAAAGGGAGAAAUGAGCCUACUCGAUGCAUUUUUGCUAGUCUACACAAGUAGCUAUAACACAAGGUUGAAUUUGGAAGUCACACCAAGGAAGUUUCCUUAGCAAUGUUUUGUAAUAUAAAUGAUGAAUGAAUAAAAUGUACUAUGGGAGUACAUCUGUGUGUAUAGAAGAGGACAAAUGGAAUUUUUUUAAAUGUCUUUUUGUAUGUCUGUUACAUAUGUGUGUUUGGGUGAAUAUAUAGGAGUGUAUGUGUCAUUGAAUAAUGUGUAUAUAUGUAUGCCUUAUGUAUGUAAGCACAUUAAUAGCUGUAUAUGAGGUCGUGUGCCAAGAAUACAUUUCUGUGUAUAUGGACAGGUGUGUAUCUUUAUAUGCCUAGGUGUUAACUGUAUAAGACCUAUGGGCUUUCCUGAGUUUGUUUUAAAUAUGCAUAUUUAUGUGAAUUUAUGAGUUUGUGAAUGUGACAGCAUAUCCUUGGGGGGUAUGUGUGGGGGUUUUUUGUGUGUGCCAGUAUUGUAUAAAUGUGUAUGUGUAUACGGGACUCCUGUCUGAGAUCGUGUUAUGCUUGGAUAUUUGUGUGUGUGCAUGUGUAUGGUAAUACAUUUGUGAUCAGUCUGUGACCAGGGCUACAGGGCAUCUUGAGGUUGCAUGUGUGUGUCUGUGUGUAUAAUUGAGAAUGUAUGUCUGUUUUUCAGAGUCUUUAUGGAUAUGAUUGUGUCUAGCAUCUCUGUAGCCACCCUGUCGAUCCAUUUGUGAUAAGGGCUAUGUGAUUCUUAAGGGUUGGGCUGGUCAAGGCGGCUCCUUGGAGGAAGAGGUUCUUGUGAGGUGGGGACGGUAGACACAGGAAGAAGUUGCAUGUGUGCUGGCCCACUGAAUAGACCACCCAGAGCAGCCGGAGGCCAGGCAAGCAAAGUAGGCUGAAACAAGACCAGGGAAAGCGCUGAAUGCCAGAAUGGGUAAUCACGGCCUCUUCUGGCAUCUUCCGCCCUCUCAAGCGUUGGAUCAGUUUCUCUCAUGGCCCUUCUCUGGGUCUACCUGGUCAGUGCUCUUCUGCAGAGUGCACAUCCUUGGUAAUGAACAUGGCAACAAUGGUGGAGCAUUACUAUGAGCCUGCCUGCAGAAAGCACUUAACAGGCAAUAGGUCAGCUCUGUGAGGCAGAAAUUUGGUAUCCCCAGUUUUACAGAGGGGGAGCAGGAGAUUAAGCCCUGUUGGUGAUGCCCCUGUUGGAUUCUGAGGCCCCAUGCCCUCUCAACCACUAUUGACGUUUUGGGCCAGAUAAUUCAGCGUUGCGGGUGGCUGUCCUGUGCAUUGUAGCAUAAUUAGCAGCAUCCCUCGUGUUUACCCAGUAGAUGCCAAUAGCACCUCCCUCUCCAGAUAUGCAAACCAAAAUGUCUCUAAACAUUUCCAGAAGUCCACUGGGGACAAAAUCGUCUGAGAUUGAGAGCCACAGCACUACACUGUCCUGCCUCCCCUCAUGUAAGUGUUUUCUGAGGGGCUGCAACAACUCCACCUUGUCCAGUGUCUUCAGCUGUCCCUCUUCUUUCACGGUGAUCUUCAUGACCGUGCAGGUAGCCCCUUGUCUUUGCCACAGUCAACAGAAGGCUU
rnacentral:lncRNA from 1 species